ensembl:lncRNA
GUUGCGUACCGUCUGGGACCAGAGGAGGAGCCGCGGGGCUGGGGGCGGGGGUCCGCGGCGCGGCGUGUGCAGACAUUGGCUGUAGAAGAAGACUGAUUGAAUCCCAGGUGAGGUCCAGAGCGGCCCGUCACCCAAGCCUGCGUUGGUAACGUCAGCAUGCACGGGAUCAUCAGAACCAAAUGAGGCCUUCAGCGCUCUGUCUCGCUCUAUUCCCCGCUGCCCCAUCACAAUCUGGCUCCAUCCUGUGCAGCUGAUCAUCCAGAGGAGAAACUGAAAGCUGGACACAAUGAGGAGCAAACAGCAUCUGCAACUGAAGUGAUGAUGACUUUCCAGCUGCUGCAUGUGUCCAAAAAACUGGUGCAUCUCCCCCCAAAAAGACAAUAUAACAGUGAAAUAUUCCUUGACACUCGGUGGACAAUACAUAAUGAUCCUAACCAAUAAAUAUUCAACCAAC